UUGGUCACGUCAUCGGAUUUCCGGUGUGGCGCAGGAGUGUUUGUUUGGCAAGGUGUUGUCGGUUGCUGUUGUUGAAAUAAUUUCAAGCAGCACUCAAGUUUCAAGGGCACGUCUUCUGUCAGACUCCUGAAAUGGAUUCGAUCUAUGAAAAUUCUAAUGUCAUACUUUCAACGGUUGCGUCAGAUGAAAAAUGCUCUCAGUACAAAGGUUAUAACACCAAAGUGCAAGAAAGUGAGAGGAAAGUUUAUCCACCUAAAUGGAAAAAAGUUCUUCUGAUUGCUUUUGCUGUCUGUAUUUCUUUGGCUCUUGGGGGUCUCUGUAUUUUAGGGAUCUUGUAUGUCAGUGCUUCAGUGCAGCUGUCUGCCCAAGAAACUAAUGGCACAAGUGAGUAAAAUAUAUUUCAUACACAAGCAAAGGACACAGAAAGCCAUUUGCCUAAUCUCCUCUUGCUGACCUAUUGUUAAUAAAUAUCUUAGCUCUUUAUCUUUUGAUGCCAUCCUAGCAUUGGGCCCAUGGAAAGAAUUAUGAACAUGAAGCCAGUUGUUUGUUCACAAACUUCUUCCAAGUGUAUUGUCUCCUACAUUAGAUUAUAUAGAUCCAUUGACAGGGGGUGGUGUUAUGGUUUAUCCAGUAGGAUAACCUUACAUAUGUGUGUCAUAAAAACAAAAGAUGUGCCAUAUAGAAGUAAAACAAUUCUGGGAGAAGAGUAGUAGUGCUUUUUUCCAGAGGCAUCCUGAUAUUCAAACUAUAUAUCUUUAAAAACAAGAGGUAUAGGGAGGGGGAGUACAGUAGAUAUGAGGGAGAGAGAACACAAACAGGAAGACUCACAGUAAUAUUUGGCAGAGAGUGUGAUAUUAUUUAACAGUUCCCCCAUUUGUUUAUAUAAUAAACAUCAUAAAGGCUCUCUGCCCAGUUCCCCUUCCCUUAACAUUUGAUCAAGAUUUUUCUCAAUCAACUUAAGAUUAGCGCAUUUCUGUUCAUCACGGCACUUGUAAAUCAAGAUAAAAAUCUACUCAUAUUCAGUAAACCUAAAUCAGUCAAUAUUUAGGUUUAUAUCUUGAAUAUAAACUAUGAAUAUAUCUUUAACCUCAGAUAGAUAUCCUUAAUUUAACUAUUAGAUUUUCACCAGGACAGUCAGAUGUGGGCCACCAUAAGAACUAACCCCUAAUGUCACCUGGACUUUUGCUGUGUUGAGGACUUACUGCAGCCCUCAGGCUUUUAAAGUCAGGAGGACUUUUAAAUUUAGUAAAUUUUUUUCCACUUAUAUAAUUUAUACUACCUUUUUAAUUUUAAUUUUAGCCUGUGAUAGUGAUGUAUCCAGCGUAAGAGUCGAGAUAAUCUGACAAAUUAACUUUUAAAGAUAGACCUAUGCAGUGACUCAACAGUGAGCAAACUUUGGGCUUUUAAACCACCAGUUGAGUUCACUCAUUCUCCUUGUUGGUCCCCCUUGGAGACUCUUUAGCCUCUGCCAGAAUUAGAAGCACACCUGUUGUGAACUCAGAAUGCACCACUUUUCAGCAACGUUAAGGGAACACAUACCUUGUCCAAAUACCCACACUUGCGGUCUUGGCCACUUGAAAGCACGUGCAAGCGACAGGAAGUAAGUGCGCAAAACUGUCCCAGGUCUUAAACAUGCCAAAGUGCAGUGCCCUUAACGCACACUAAAUCCACACUAUCUUGUAUUCCGCUCAGGAGCAGUAUUCAAGGCUUAGUGUAUCCCAUCAUGCAUCAUGUUCUGGAAAUAAAUUGUGAGAGUUUUUGCCGAGAUCUCGUGAGAGGCCACAGACACCUUUCCAGUGUAAGUUAAAUAUUAAUAUAAGACUUAGAUAUUACAUCUAAUUUGGUAGAAACAAAAAGCCUUUUUUUGAGGCGGCCUCUGUAGUGAUCACUGUAUAUGCAGUAUCUGCCCACGAGUGAAUAAAUGAAAGUCUCGUGAUAUUAUCAGUCAAGAUGAACAUGUUUUGGCUGUUUCAGUGUCUCUCUAUGUCUUUCAGUCUGUAAUUUGGUGAUGAGGACAUAGUGGGGCAUUGGAGUUUUGACUCUGUAUGCAGUUAUCUUCCUCUGUCUGCCUGUCAUGGCAGAUUUUUCAUGUCUGCAUUAUUUCUCAGGCUUUCUCCAUUCUAGCCCAUCCCAGAUGUGUCGGAUUCCUCUUACAGGGGGUGCAGCCAAUCACCCAUCAGCUUUUCCUGUUUUUCACAGCUGUAAUGUCUCUUUCUUCAUGUUGUAUCGCCCAUUGUCAGCUGUCCCAGAAGUCGACUGUUUUCUUCUAUAAAAUGAACACUCAAGAGAACCGCAUUGUAAACUUUGACCACAACUGCAUAUAAGCAAUCUGUGCUAUGGUCAGUCAUCCUGUGCCACUGUCCAAAAUUUAGGAAAUCUCAUCCAGUUAAAAACAUGUAUAGCAGUUCUUUAUUUUGUUUUAAUAAAGCAAGUUCUUCUUUGCAAGACAAGAGCAAGCAAUUCCUUUUUGGCAUAAUGCCGAAAAGAGCAGUAACCUAUUCUGACUGAUCUGAACAUAUCAUACUUCUAUAGUCCUUAUGUAUUAUAAAUAUAGACUGAAAUCUUGUAAAUAGUCUACCAAAUGUAACAACCAAAGUCAAGAAAAAAUCAUUUUCCUAUGUUUCUUGUUAUUAUUAGCUGAAUACGGCUGUUUAAAGUAGUCAGUCUUGUUCUCAUUGAUCACAAUGCUCAAGUUAUUUUAGUUAACACAAACUAAAGUCUCAAUCUCUGCAGUUUAUCACAUUUUAGGAUGUCCCCCAGAGAUAACGGACACAGACUCCAUACAUCUAAAGAUAACAGAAUGUAAUACAAGCCAUAUCUUUGAAGACCUGUAUUUAACAUUAUAUUAUUUAUUAAUUUAUCAAUAUAAUUCUCUUGUGGCUGCCACUUUUCAUAAAAAAGUAUUCCCUUUAACUUUUCAGAGCCAAUACAUAACUCAAAUGUCCUAAAAUCUUCUCAGCCAAAUACAGUUGUACAUUUCUGCUCUAUAGAUUCUCAUGCAUCUAAUCAACAGUAUUAUAUUAUAAUGUUGGCUUUGUUGAUGACUGACAAUGCUUUUUAAAAUAUCAGCACACUUGAUCUAACAUGUGGGCAAACACAAAACAAAGCAAGAGUAGAUUCAUUUAAAAUGAAUGGGUAAUGAAAAAUGUAUCUUUUGCAAAACAUCCAUUCUCCUUCCCACAUAUAAAUCGUGAGGAUAACCUGCAGAUCAACAGUCGGCUGCGAAACAGUACUGUUCUUCCCGUAUAUCUUACACAAAACGAGGAUAACCCACUCUGCCAAAUAUGGCAGAGUGUAAAUUCACGGCAUGAAAAUAUAAUCAAUUUGUUAACAGACAGCUAGAAUAAUUCAUUAUUGACUAUUUCUCACCUGUCUGUAGAAAUUCCCAAAAAGACGAGCCCCCCUUUGUUAAUAAAUAUCUUAGCUCUUUAUCUUUCGAUGCCAUCCGACUAUUCUCAGUCCUUGCAUGGGCCCAUGGAAAGAAUUAUGAACAUGAAGCCAAUUGUCCGUUCACAAACUUCUUCCAAGUUUAUUGUCUCCUACAUUAGAUUAUAUAGAUCCAUUGACAGGGGGUGGUGUUAUGGUUUAUCCAGUAGGAUAAACCUUACAUAUGUGCGUCAUACAAAACAAAAGAUGUGUAAUAUAGAAGUAAAACAAUUCUGAGAGAAGAAUAGCUUCUUUCCAGAGGCAUCCUGUUAUUCAAAUUAUAUAUACUUAAAAACAAGAGGUAUAGGGAGGGGGAGUACUGUAGAUAGGAGGGAGAGAGAACACAAACAGGAAAACUCAAAGUAAUGUUUGGCAGAGAGCAUGAUAACAUUUAACACCUAUCCUGGAGCAUGUGGCACAUCAUGUCGUAAUUAAAUAUCUAAAUUAAUAACCAACAUACACAGUCAAAAAGUAAUGAUCUCUUGAAAAUAAGUGUCUGAUUAAACACAGAGCUAGAAUAAAAUUUAAACCUAGUCCUAAUAAACUUUACAUAAGUGCAGGUAAAAUAUCUACAUGCAUUAUACCUUAACCCACGCUGCUGAAUUCCAUCAUUGGGUCAGUUGGGUGGUCCUUACACACCCAAUACAGCAGCAAGUUUCAUGUACACAGAAAUGGCAACGUGAGUAACUUUGUCUGUUUUUCUUCCAUUAUCUUCUUAUUUCUGUAUUAGUCAUGGAGCUUGAAGAACUUACAGCCAACUACACCAGAGUGUAGUUCCGCAUUAUCCACAUACAUCUCUGCAUUAACAACAGCGAGUUAUGUUUGUUUUUAGCUUAAACCAGUUUUGAUUAACCACCCUUGUUGAUUCCCUUUUUUCAUAACUGUCUUUGAACCAGAGCUUAUGGUUAAGUACACCAGACUGCAUUUCUCUUUCAGACUCAUGGCACAAGCUUUGACAAAGUGUCUAAAAACAUCUGUACAUUAAACCAAACUUUGAUUCACUUCUAGUGUCAUGGUCUGAAGAACGCAUCAGUUUCAUCUCAACUUUAUUGUCUUUUUUUCUUUCUUUCUUGGCCUUGUGAAUGCAGACUACAAAGCACAGUUUGACGUGCUCCGCGACCAGCAUGAGGAGACACUUAGAAAGCCGAACAGAUUUAAUCGAUUUUGUUACCUCUAAUGUUGAAGUAACCACCUGAUUUGGUCUUAAUGAUUUGGACACUGAGGGACACUGGGUUUGGGUGAACAACCAGCCACUUAACAAUUCAGUAGAAUUCUGGAUAAAACGAAAAGAUGAAAUCAGUGAGCCUGAUAACUGGACUAAAGUUCAUCCAGAUGGUGAAGACUGCGCUAGUCUGGGACAUCCAAACGGAGAGACGGAUUUCUGGACAGAUGCUUACUGUUUUGAAGAGAAAAGAU